UACGUAGGGGGCAAGCGUUGUCCGGAAUCAUUGGGCGUAAAGAGCGCGUAGGCGGCCCUGUAAGUCCGCUGUGAAAGUCAAGGGCUCAACCCUUGAAUGCCGGUGGAUACUGCAGGGCUAGAGUCCGGAAGAGGCGAGUGGAAUUCCUGGUGUAGCGGUGAAAUGCGCAGAUAUCAGGAGGAACACCAGUGGCGAAGGCGACACGCUGGGCCGUACCUGACGCUAAAGCGCGACAGCAUGGGGAGCAAACGGG
rnacentral:rRNA from 1 species